ACCUGGCUGCUCAGUUGGUAGAGUGUGUGACUCUUGAUCUUGAAGUCAUGAGUUCAAACCCCAUGUUGGGUC
rnacentral:tRNA from 1 species